AUUGAACGCUAGCGGGAUGCUUUACACAUGCAAGUCGAACGAGUGGCGGAAGGGUGAGUAAUAUAUCGGCACGUGCCCAGUAGCGGGGGAUAACUAACCGAAAGAGAGGCUACUACCGCCUACUAUUGGAGCGGCCGGUAUCGGAUUAGCUAGUUGGUGGGGUAAAGGCUCACAAAGGCAACGAUCCGUAGCUGGUUUGAGAGGAAGACCAGCCACACUGGGACUGAGACACGGCCCAGACUCCUACGGGAGGCAGCAGUGGGGAAUUUUGGACAAUGGGGGAAACCCUGAUCCAGCCAUCCCGCGUGUAUGAGAAGGCCUUCGGGUUGUAAAGUACUUUUGGCAGGGAAGCGGUACCUGCAGAAUAAGCACCGGCUAACUACGUGCCAGCAGCCGCGGUAAUUC
rnacentral:rRNA from 1 species